CACAAUCACGAUCUAAGAACAAAAGUGGUUUCAUGACAUGGUUCCCUCAAGUGCCCAACUCAAGAGUGGAAAAGCUUGUGAAUGUCGAUGCACCAUUGAUUGAACGAUCCAUAAGGCAUUUUCCGAAGGGUGUUUCAGAAAAGAACAUUCGUGUACCCACGUAAUCGUUCAUAAAAAAAAUAAAGGAGAUUUCGAGUGGAGGAAAAUAUGAGUGGAAUGACAGUUAUAACGCUUAGCACAAAGCAAAAAUACAAUAACAUUUUUAGCAAUAAAAGUAAAUUAAAACACAUAUCCAACAAAAAAGAGAAAAGGGGAGGGGAUAGGCAUGGAGACAUGAAAAACACAAAAAGGGGAAAGAGAAGGGAGUAACAUGUAAAAAUAAAUCAUGAUGUAAGCAAUAAAACCAAACAAGGAUAAGGUAAUUAUGAAAAAAUAAGACAAAGAAAGUAGUAGAAUCCCACAUAAGCACAAACUCAUAAUGGUUAGAACCUAAGUAUUCCCCAGCAGAGUUGCCAUUUUGUCGCGCCCCUUUCGCGCAAAAAGCAGGAUUCGACGUGACAACUCUUUUUGAAAUUUGUUGAAAAGUGAACAGUCGCCACCUAAAGAAUUAAGGUGUGUUAGGUCACCAUUCUAGGCUAAUUACAAACCUAUAUUAUUGUUUAGUCUAGUUCACCAGAAACUUGGGUAAGAGUUCAAAUUAUCUCGAAAGAAAUGUGUUAGGCACCUUUCGAGACCCACAAAUGUAGAUCCCGACCGAAUUCAUAUUUUUCGUGGGGAUUCUACGUGAUCAACAAAGGUCGCUUAUUUAUUAACUUAAUAAUAACUAAGUGAUAACAAAUAAUAAUAAACAAGACAUCAAACUCAAAUUAUUUCUAGAUGUUUAUUAGCCAGGAGAUGAUAAGAUGCAUAAAAAAAAUGUCUCAGAUAAGCAAGAAGAUAGAAAAGACACAAUCAUAUAACAACAUAUUUAUAUUAAAUUAAAGAACCUAAACUACCCCAAGCAAAUACACAUAAUAAAGUAAAUAAGAGAGAAACAAGUUUGAAUGAUCGGAUAAAGGAGUUGUUUACUUGAAUUCAAAAAGGAUAAAACUAGCGUUCUCUAAAAUGCCUAUCAUCCCAACCUAUCAUCCAAGAGGCAUUGGAUGUUUCUAAUUUGGAUUUAGAUAUAGACAAAUAAAACUAGACUUCCUAGUUAGAUUUAAGUGCGUAAAAACACAUAGAACAUCAAGUAGCACAUAAAAGUCUCAAGAUAAGCCUCUUGAUUAUUUAAGAAUUAGUUAAGUGAGUAACAUGCUAAACAAACAAACAUUCAGCUAAACAAACAAACAUUCAUUUUUUUAUGUAAUUAACUUAUAGGCAUGAUACUAAGUGUUCAACAAUUCAUUAGUAUGUCAACUAUUAAUUAAAGAAGUCCUAUGGGCAGGAUAUCUCACGUUGUUGACUAAUUAAUCGUAUUAGAAAAAAAACUCAUGAACAACCCUUAGAAUGUGAACAUUUUAAAUAAGACUAAAUAAGCUACUGUGAUGAAGAUUUAUAUUAUGAAAAUUACACACAAGUGCUAAAACAGUGUGCGAACGUAUUAAUUAAACAUGCCUCUGAAAUCAAACAUGAGGCUGAGAACAACUUUAAUAUUGAAAAUUAGCAGGCAUAUCACGUCCUAAAUACUAAAAGAUUUAAUGCUAAAAAUUAGUAAAAUAUAGAUGAUGUAAUUUAAAUUAAUGUUGAAGAAACAAUCUCGCUAUUGGGAAUAAAGUAUAUAUCCUGCUUUUAACAAUUAAUGCUAAAAAACAUUUUUGGUGUCAGAAAUUUAAAAGAAAUUAAUGUUGAAGGCCAUUUGUUGAAAUCGGAAUUAAAAAAAAAUUGGAAUGCCGAAAAACGGCAAUAUACCUAAACUGUUUCUGUUGUUAUUAACAAGAAUUAAGUUGGAAUUUAAAAUCUAAUUGUUAAACCAUUGCUUGAACAAAAGCUAAAAUAAAUGUGAGAAGAAUAUGUCUCAUUGUAAGUUAAUUAUCAUACUCGAAAUCGAUUAUAAUUGGUGAUUAAUCCUGAAAACAUGCUCUCUAUGCGUUCAAAUAAGUUAGUGAACCUAAGUUGUGUUUGCCUGAGUGAUUCAGGUAGCACACAAACCUCACCCACUAAGUAGCCCCCACAAUUAUUAUUACAUAGGUAGUGUUUAUACAAGGCAAUUAUUACAGACUAAAUGAAUUAAUAAAGAAAAGGCUAAACUAAAAAGGCAGCCUUUCCCCAAACUUCCGGAUGACUUCAAAUUCCAAAACCAUCUAGUUACACCUGUUAGAAACAAAAAAUGGCGAAGCAAGCACAAAGGGACAAACAAGUAUACAACGACACGAUUUCAAACACAGAAACAACGAUACAAAGGUAUAGCAAACAAACACAAAUACUGAAUAGCUCCUAUAGGCAUGUUCAUAAAGUUAUCACAUAAGAUAGAAAAAUUACGUCGACAGAAAUUUACCGGUAAGCCGAGAGAAAAAUAAUACAAGAAAACCUUUUAUGUAAAGCCGUUGAAGUAAUAGCACAGAACUGAAUUUCUUCUUAAAACCCAAAAUGCAAAAUAGUUGGAAAAUAUUUCUCAACUUCUGUAUAAAGGAUGUAUAUAGCUAGAAUUGUUUUUCCGGGAGUAGUAGUUGAGGGGAACAUGAAUAUUAAUGAGAAGAUAGGUGGCCGGGGGGGGGGGGGGGGGGGGGUCGUGGGANNNNNNNNNNNNNNNNNNNNNNNNNNNNNNNNNNNNNNNNNNNNNNNNNNNNNNNNNNNNNNNNNNNNNNNNNNNNNNNNNNNNNNNNGGGGGGGGGUCGUCUAUGGUGAGUAGUAGCAAAAAUUAAUUAUAGAAACAAAUAAGAAAGAAUCAAUUGAUGGCAGUAGAAAAGGAACACAAUAUUCUAAAAAUCAAUUAAUGUAAAUCAGUAAACUGAAUCAAUUAAGAAAGGAGGAAACUAUUCCAAUUGUCAUAUAAGCAUUCAUACACAAUUUGUUAAAACUAGGAAAGGUAAGAGAGAGAGCUAAUAUGAAAUCUUUAUCAAAACUAGGGAACAAUGAGGCUAUCAGUCUAUUAAAAAAUUUUAAUUGAGAAAAUUAACUACUAACACACAUAAAUUAUUUAUUUACCAUAAAUAUUCAAAUACCAAAGCUGGAAAAAAAAAUCAUUCCAAAGAUCCCACUCAUUCCAAACAAGAGAAAAGGAAUCUAUUAUUACUCAAAAUAAGCCAACCACAUAAAUAUUUGACAUAACAUUCGUAUUUUCUAAGUACCGAUUCAGCCAAGAAAUAAAAAAUGAUUAAGAAGGAUUAUCAAGAUUUGAAUUUCACAGACUAACACACGGUAUACAUCAUAUAUUAGCUAGACAAUUAGCAUCCAAAGUCAGAGAAUUUGAAUAGUAGAAAUUGUGUGUUUUGACAUAUGUUACCCUAGAUGCAUAAAAAACAUGCCAUUAUGCUAAUUUAACAUCAAACAUUACCAAUUUCGAAUCCAAGAAUCUGCUUAGAAAAAAGUAAAAAGGUAGAAAAUUCAGAAAAUUUUUAAACAGGGAACAAACCUGAGGCGGAGUCAUGUUUGCGAAUCUGCGAUGCCCUUCAAAUAAUUUUUCGGUGAAUUUCAGUCCGGGUCAAGGGCAGAGAAGCGACUGAUAUUGUUGCUAUUUCACCGGUAUUUCGCCGGCGAGGGAAGGAAGGACGGAGCGGUGGCUGCAUGUGAUGGAGAAUCGUCGGUCAGCGAUGACCGAUGUUAGGAUUGAUGUGCACUGGUCUUGGAGCCUCUCAUAGACAGCAGCGCUGGUUUGGUUGGUUUCGCCGGUGAAGCCCGAUGUUUGGCUUGGCGGCAGAAACCAUUUGAUGGUGGAGAGUCACCGGCUAGAGAAGGGAGAAAGAGCAGUGGUGGCAGCUAUGGUAUCGGCUUUGAUGGUGACACCGAUUGGCUGCUCCACCGGCUGCUAUUGUCGUUGGAUGUUGUUGUCCGUCAGCGGUACUAGUGGACGUAAGAGAGAUAUUUUAGAGAGAGAGAUAGAAUGAGAGGAAGUGUUGGUUUUGCUGGUGGCUGGCCGCGAGAAAAGAGAGAAAGGGGAGGCGGCAUUGGCAGCGCUGGUGGCGGGAAUGGGGUCGCCGGUGGUGGUGAAAUUUUUAGAGAGAUAGAGAGAUGGAGUUGUUUUUGUCAAAAUAUGAGAGAUUAGGGUUUGUUGAGUUUAAAAGGAAAGAAAAAAUGAUUUGAUCUCAACUGUUAAUCAAUUUUGAUCAACGGAUGAGAUUAGAAGGAUUUAAAAAGCGCAAUAAAAUUGAAGUUUCAUUUGAUAUUAAAAUUGAUAUCUGGCUAAAAUUA
rnacentral:lncRNA from 1 species